rnacentral:rRNA from 1 species
UACGGAGGAUGCGAGCGUUAUCCGGAUUUAUUGGGUUUAAAGGGUGCGUAGGCGGGAUGCCAAGUCAGCGGUAAAAAUGCGGUGCUCAACGCCGUCGAGCCGUUGAAACUGGCGUUCUUGAGUGGGCGAGAAGAAUGCGGAAUGCGUGGUGUAGCGGUGAAAUGCAUAGAUAUCACGCAGAACUCCGAUUGCGAAGGCAGCAUACCGGCGCCCUACUGACGCUGAGGCACGAAAGCGUGGGUAUCGAACAGG